UUUAAUUGAAGAGUUUGAUCAUGGCUCAGAUUGAACGCUGGCGGCAGGCCUAACACAUGCAAGUCGGGCGGUAACAGGGGGAAGCUUGCUUCUCUGCUGACGAGCGGCGGACGGGUGAGUAAUGUAUGGGGAUCUGCCUGAUGGCGGGGGAUAACUACUGGAAACGGUAGCUAAUACCG
rnacentral:rRNA from 1 species